UACGUAGGGUGCAAGCGUUAAUCGGAAUUACUGGGCGUAAAGCGUGCGCAGGCGGUUAUGUAAGACAGAUGUGAAAUGCCCGGCUUAACCUGGGAACUGCAUUUGUGACUGCAUGGCUAGAGUUUGGCAGAGGGGGGUAGAAUUCCACGUGUAGCAGUGAAAUGCGUAGAUAUGUGGAGGAACACCGAUGGCGAAGGCAGCCCCCUGGGUCAAGACUGACGCUCAUGCACGAAAGCGUGGGGAGCAAACAGG
rnacentral:rRNA from 1 species